AGUAGAGCUAUUUGUUGCGCUUCUGUCUCGGCUAGGCGUACGAUCUUCGUUGCUGAUCCUUCUAGAUUCAUCUCGUUUUCGACUGAACUUGAGAGAGCUGUUAUGAGUAAAUUGAUGUACGAGUUGAAUACUUGAAGAACUCCUUCCAAGAUGAGUAUCACACAAAAAGUGGCAUGAACACAAGAUCAUUACCUGAACCAUUGUAUUAAAUCUAUGUGCACUUCUUGAAAGCUUUGGCUGUGACACAACAGAAGCAAGCGAAGAAGUCGAAGAUGACCUUGGAAAAAGUCUAGAAGCAACAGGGGAAUAAGCAAGCAACCAAUCAUCUGCUGCAGCUAAAGCAGCACUGCUCUGUUCAAUUCUCCUCAAAUUAGCUGUUAUGGCAUUCUCAAUAAAUGGCCUAAAAUGCCUAAACAACACUGGCGUAAGUGCCAACCCUCGAGCUUCCAAAAGCGAGCAAUGCCCCAUACAUAUUUGUACACUCUCAGCUGCAAUCCUCAAACUCCCCACAGCUGCCGAUGAACCUAUCACAUACCUCUUCAAGAACACAGCAAAACCAUCCGUUUGUCUCACAGACCAAGUCACCAACUCUGAUGCGUAAGCUGGCUCUUCCCCAAACACAGCCAACGAAUCACUUGCCGCUUGAGCAAUCGUCGAGAACACAAACUGUGAUAUCGCUGCUGUGUAUACCCCUCCCCCUGAGUUGCUUGAUGUCCUAAAACUAUGCAAGCUUCGCUGCAGUUUCUGUUGGUGGGAACUCAGUAGCAACAUGUGUGCACGUGAACCGUCUCCGAGCUUUUUCAAAGCUUGAGCAGCAGAGCGAAGCUCCACACCUCGUGUGGAAGGUUGGGAAAUUGUUUGCUCAAGGAGAGAAGCUAGUUUUUGUCUUUGGUUUCGAAUGGCAGCUUCUAAUGUGGAGAGUGCAGAAGCACUCAAUGCCUUGCGACAAUUAGAAUCUUGAGCUAUUUGUUCGCCUUUGUCUAAAGCGGCGAGAGCUUCGUCCAUUCGUUUCUCAACCAAGAGAACUUCAAGGUUGUCUAAAAACUCCACCAACCAUUCAUCUGUGGUGGGUAGUUCACGUGUUUCGUUGGAAGAAUGGUCUAGAAUCGAAUCUUCAAUAUCUCCAGAAAGAGAUUCAAUGCUUGCUCCUUCGGCUAAACCAUGAAUAAGAGCUGCUUGAGUGGAUAAAUGAUUUCUUAGUAAAAGAAGUUCGCCUUCAAGAUCUGAAAUCUCUCGAGAUGUACUGAUGAUAAGACGACCAAGAACAGAGAAAUUGAGAAAGGACGACGUAGAAAGAAACAACAAACAAAAUUAGAAAAAGAAAAAGAAAAAGAAAAAGAAUGGAAAUGAUGAUCACCGAAUGAAAGCUCCAUAAUUGGCAUAAACGCUUUUACGCAUUUCUUCAGCAGAGGCCUUCUUGAGGUCGAUAAGGUAAGAACAUAAAUGCUUAAUUUCCUUCUCGGACAUGGUUUGGCAUUUGGAGGUGACAUAGGAAUCAACGUCAUAUUUAGAGGAUUUGAAGCCUUUUAAUCUGUCUUUGAGUGGGAGAUUUGCUUCCAGUUCUGAAGCAUCUCCUAUGCUUGAUGAGAACGAUCCUCUUGCAAACGAGGAAUAGGCAUCCAUGUUUUUUUAUUAUUAUUAUUUGGUUAAAUUAGAAGGGAAAAGAGGAAUGGGUUUUCAUGAAUGUAAGUGGGUUGAUGCCAUCGAUGGAGGUUGGAGAAAGAGGAAGAAGAUGAAGAUGGGGAAAGAUCCAAAUGAAAUGGAAGCUUCUGGUUAAAUUCAGAGAGAUAGAGAGAUGGUUUGGGUGAAUUGGUUAUGGGGUUGUUGAGUUUCCUAUGGCUUUAUACUUUUGUGUUUUCAAAACCAAUUUAUAAACACUAAAUAAAAUUUUCUUUUAAUUAAAAAAAA